GGCUUGGUAACGUAGUGGUAGCGCAUUCCACCAUUGCGCGCUUCUGAGUGGCAAACGGGCUCAGAGGAGAUGUCGAGGUGGGAAACGCUGUGGGUUUGAAUCCCACCCGGGCCU